GACUAGUAUCAACGGCAUCACGAGGGUUACACUGUCUCCUUUUUCUAAUCAGUGAAACUAAUCUCCCCGUGAAGAAGCGGGGAUACUCCUAUAAGACGAGAAGACCCCAUGGAGCUUUAAACCCAACUACACCCCCAACUUUUAAAACCACUAAACCCCAGGGGCCCUGUUACGUUGGUUUUGGGUUGGGGCGACCACGGAGUACAAUAAAACCUCCAUAAUGAACAGAACUAUUCCUUUAUCCAAGAGCUACACCUCUAAGAAUUGAUAUAUCAACAUAAUAUGAUCCAUUUUUUGAUCAAUGAACCAAGUUACCCUGGGGAUAACAGCGCAAUCCAUUUCAAGAGCCCCUAUCGACAAAUGGGUUUACGACCUCGAUGUUGGAUCAGGGUAUCCCAGUGGUGCAGCAGCUACUAAUGGUUUGUUUGUUCAACAAUUAAAACCCU
rnacentral:rRNA from 1 species